rnacentral:misc_RNA from 1 species
UCCCUGUUGCCAGGGCAGUCUAGCUAGAGAAAUCCAACUAACUAUAAGGGUUGCGCUCGUUAAUGGACUUAACCAAACAUCUCACGACACGAGCUGACGACGGCCAUGCAUCACCUGUCACCGUGCUCACAAGGCACAGUCUCCUUUCGGAGACCUUCACGGGAUGUCAAACCUGGGUAAGGUUCUUCGCUUACCUUCGAAUUAAAGAACACGCUCCACCGCUUGUGCGGGUCCCCGUCAAUUCCUUUAUGUUUUAGUCUUGCGACCGUACUCCACAGGCGGGAUGCUUAACGCGUUAGCUUCGCUACUACGAGGGUCGAUACUCAUAACAGCUAGCAUCCAUCGUUUACGGCGUGGACUAC